UUUCACACAGGACAGCGACAAUGCGGCUUCUCUGCACCUCGGUUCUGUGGGUAGCAAUUCUAUCAGCUCUGAGUCAUGGAGAUUCUGUCACUCAGUCAUUCUCCUCAGAAGUUCGGACAGAAGGAUACGGUGUUACUCUAAGUUGUACCUAUGAAACUACAGCGAACUACUAUGUACUAUUCUGGUACCGACAGCAACCAGACACACAGCCUGAUUUUAUUCUGUUCAAAGAUACUCGUGGUUCUAAUGAUAAAGCAAAUUUUGCACAAGAUCGUUUCUCUAUGGAACUUCAGACCUCGAAGAAAUUCACAAGUUUGACUAUCACUGGGCUGCAGCUGACUGACACUGCCGUGUACUACUGCGGGUUCAGGAAUGACACAGUGAAGAGAAAGAGUCGCACCGCUGUACAAAAACAUCCGUGA